GAUGAACGCUGGCGGCGUGCCUAAUACAUGCAAGUCGAGCGAACAGACGAUGAGCUUGCUCCUCUGUCGUUUGCCGCGGACGGGUGAGUCACACGUGUAUAACCUACCUAUAAGACUGGUAUCACUUCGGGACUCCGGAUCUAAUACCGGAUAAUCUAUUGAUCCGCAUUGUUCAAUAGUGAAAUUCGGUUUUUCUGUCUCUUAUAGCUGGUUCCGCGCGGCAUUAGCUAGUUGUUACGUUAACGGCUUAGCAAGGCAACGAUGCGUAGCCGACCUGAUAGAGUGAUAGGCGACAUGGGAACGGAGCCAGGGACAAGAGUCCUGCGGGAGGGAGCAGUAGGGAAUGUGACGCAGUGGGCGAAAGCCUGACGGAGCAACGCGGCGUGAGUGAUGAAGGUCUUCGGAUCGUAAAACUGUGUUAUGAGGGAAGAACAAAUGUGUAAGUAAAUAUGCACGUAUUGACGGUAACUAAUCAGAAAGCAACGGCUAACUACGUG
rnacentral:rRNA from 1 species